rnacentral:rRNA from 1 species
AGACCCGAAACCCGGUGAUCUAGCCAUGGGCAGGUUGAAGGUUGGGUAACACUAACUGGAGGACCGAACCGACUAAUGUUGAAAAAUUAGCGGAUGACUUGUGGCUGGGGGUGAAAGGCCAAUCAAACCGGGAGAUAGCUGGUUCUCCCCGAAAGCUAUUUAGGUAGCGCCUCGUGAAUUCAUCUCCGGGGGUAGAGCACUGUUUCGGCAAGGGGGUCAUCCCGACUUACCAACCCGAUGCAAACUGCGAAUACCGGAGAAUGUUAUCACGGGAGACACACGGCGGGUGCUAACGUCCGUCGUGAAGAGGGAAACAACCCAGACCGCCAGCUAAGGUCCCAAAGUCAUGGUUAAGUGGGAAACGAUGUGGGAAGGCCCAGACAGCCAGGAUGUUGGCUUAGAAGCAGCCAUCAUUUAAAGAAAGCGUAAUAGCUCACUGGUCGAGUCGGCCUGCGCGGAAGAUGUAACGGGGCUAAACAAUGCACCGAAGCUGCGGCAGCGACACUGUGUGUUGUUGGGU